ACGAACGCUGGCGGCGCGCCUAACACAUGCAAGUCGAACGAGCGAGAGAGAGCUUGCUUUCUUGAGCGAGUGGCGAACGGGUGAGUAACGCGUGAGGAACCUGCCUCAAAGAGGGGAACAACAGUUGGAAACGACUGCUAAUACCGCAUAAGCCCACGACCCGGCAUCGGGUAGAGGGAAAAGGAGUGAUCCGCUUUGAGAUGGCCUCGCGUCCGAUUAGCUAGUUGGUGAGGUAACGGCCCACCAAGGCGACGAUCGGUAGCCGGACUGAGAGGUUGGACGGCCACAUUGGGACUGAGACACGGCCCAGACUCCUACGGGAGGCAGCAGUGGGGAAUAUUGCACAAUGGGGGAAACCCUGAUGCAGCGACGCCGCGUGGAGGAAGAAGGUCUUCGGAUUGUAAACUCCUGUUGUUGAGGAAGAUAAUGACGGUACUCAACAAGGAAGUGACGGCUAACUACGUGCCAGCCGCCGCAGUAAGAC
rnacentral:rRNA from 1 species